rnacentral:tRNA from 2 species
AACAUAAAGACUGCCCAUGUUACGGCCAUGGGUUCGAUAGCGAGGCUAUCUUAUGUUU